rnacentral:misc_RNA from 1 species
AAGUCGUAACAAGGUUUCCGUAGGUGAACCUGCGGAAGGAUCAUUAACACGUAUCCAACGUUAAAACCCCCCCGUGAACCUUCAGUGUGCUCGUACGCUUUGUUAGAAAGUAGCAAUCCCUGGUAAAUCAACCGAACAACUGUUAACAAUGGAUAUCUUGGUUCUC